CGCGAGGGGAGGUCGGGCGGCCCGGGGCGCCCUGCGACUGCCCGAGGCCGGAGGCCCGGAGGACCCGCCGCCGCCUUUGUGUCACCGGCCCCCGCCCCGCUGGGGCCCGGGCCGGGGCGGUUGGGCCGGCGCUGAAGGGGCUUGGCCGCCCGGGUCCACCCGUUCCCGGAUCCGCCUCGCCGGCCCCCGCGCCCGCCCAACCCCUGCCCAACCCCUCGGCUCCGCGAGUUUGGGUGAGAAGUGCGGCGGCUUUUCCCAGGGAUGGAGUUUAGAGGACGCUAAUCCUAUGUGCAAGCGGCGGACCCCGCCCGGACUUCCCGGAGGCGCCCGGUUAGUGAGGCGACGGCGCCCACCCGCGUUCGCGGGCUCCCGGCCGCCACUCCCCGGAGCCGCCGGCCCGCCCCAGCCCCGCGCGUCGCCCGGGAGGGCGGGCUGCACUCCCUCCACGUACCUGGCUGGCAGAGCGUCUCCAGGGACAAAAGGUGCCCUGGGAUCAAAGCCGAGCCCCCGCCCCCGCGGGGAUGCUGCCCUCCGGAAGGAGGGGCGCUGCCCCCAAGGUACUCUCCCCGGGCACCCAGGGGGAGGUUCCAUUUCAACCUCCGAUGAAAAACACGGCCCUCCCGGGUACUUAGGAGGGUCUGAGGGUAAGUGCCAAGAUGGAGAAAACACGCCGGCCCCUCACAGAGUAUCUCCUGAGGAAUGAGAACUAUCUAGCGGGCAAGGAGGGCUUCCUGCAUAGCAGAGGGCACCCCCUCUGAUCCCCCAACGCCAAGGGAAAAAAGUCACUCUUCACCGGCUCCCCUGAGCCAGGACAGGCUCCAGUGCAGCCACCCACCUUAUAAUUUUCCGCGGAUGCUGCCUUGAUCAGAUGUCUGAAGAUGACUUUAAGGACUACAAGCAAAUCUCAAAGGAAAAAUUCAGACCUUGAACAACAGCCUUGAACUUUUUCAGGGUUAGACAAGUACUCCCCAGUGGAGUUUCUGCCCUUAUUUCUUCGUUCUUCUCUUAAUUCUUCCAUAUUUUAACAGAACACAGACCUGCCGAAACGACACAGGAUGGCGCUUUGCUUUUUGUUAGUUCUCCAACCUUCCAAACCCUUGGGGCACAUGCAAGCACUGUGGAAAAACUUCAUUAAACCAAGAGUCAUCUUACUCCAGAUCCCAGACUGCUUGGGAAGUUGGACAUGCAUAUUCCCAAAGAGAACAGUGUUGGAAGAAGACAGGAGAGCAGCUCGCGGGUUGGGGGUAGAGGGUAAGAAAAGAGGGCAAGAUGGAGGACUACCACUCGAGGCCAGCCUCCACUGCCUGUUAGGGCGGUAGAACCUAAGAGCAGGUCCAAGGCAACACAAAAGACAGUGAGGCUAGGUCUUUAAUUGCAGCCAACGAUCAAGAAAGCAACUCCAUCAAAUGACACUGUCUUUUUAAAAUUUUUUUUUUUUUUUUUUGAGACAGAGUCUCGCUCUGUCGCCCAGGCUGGAGUGCAGUGGUGCGAUCUUGGCUCACUGCAACCUCAGCCACCCGGGUUCAAGCAGUUCUCCCUGCCUCAGCCUCCUGAGUAGCUGGGAUUACAGGCACGCGCUACCAGGCCCGGCUAAUUUUUUUUUUUUUCUUUUUUGGUAGAAUCGAGGUUUUGCCAUGUUGGCCACGUUGGUCUCGAAUUCCUGACCUCAGGUGAUCCGCCCAUCUCAGCCUCCCAAAGUGCUGGGAUUUCAAGCGUUAGCCACCGCACUCGACCAAAUGACACUGUCUUAAAUGAUUUAAUGUCUUAAAUGAUUUAAUGUCUUAAAUGAUUUAAUGUCUUAAAUCGGGAAAGGAGAGUAAGAGAAAUCACUCAAUGGAGUCAGAGGUGUCUUGCAGCCUAGCUCUUUCCACAGACAAGCUACAUGGGCCUAUCAUCUAACCUUUUCAAGCUUCUCCAACUGCUUCUGUGAUGGAGGGAUUUGGGCUAGAGGAUCUUUUAUUUUAUUUUAUUUUAUUUUAUUUUAUUUUAUUUUGGUGACAGAGUCUCACACUGUCGCCCGGGCUGAAGUGCAGUGGCACAGUCUCAGCUCACUGCAACCUCUUUCUCCUGGGUUCAUGCGAUUCUCCUGCCUCAGCCUCCCAACUAGCUGGGAUUACAGGCGCACACCACCACACCUGGCUUAUUUUUUGUGUUUUUAGUAGAGACAGAGUUUCACUAUGUUGGCCAGACUGGUCUCGAACUCCUGACCUCGUGAUCCGCCCACCUCAGCCUCCCAAAGUGCUGUGAUUACAGGCAUGACCCACCGCGCCUGGCCGAUGAUCCCAUUUUUCAAAGUAGGCUGGGUGUGGUAGCUCACGCCUGUAAUCCCAGCACUCUGGGAGGCUAAGGCGGGUGGAUCACUUGAGGCCAGCAGUUCGAGACCAGCCUGGCCAACAUGGUGAAACCCUGUGUCUACUAAAAAUACAAAAAUUAGCUCGGCAUAGUGGUACGUACCUGUACUUUCAGCUACUUGGGAGGUUGAGACAGGAGAAUUUUGCUUGAACCCGGGAGGCGGAGGUUGCAGUGAGCCAAGAUGGCACCACUGCACUCCAUUCUGGGUGACAGAGUGAGACCCUGUCUCAAAAAUAAUGAUAAUAAAAUAAAAGUAAUUAUUUAAGGCUGGGAGCGGUGGCUCACGCCUGUAAUCACAACACUUUGGGAGGCCGAGGCGGGUGGAUCAUGAGGUCAGGAGGUCGAGACCAUCCUGUCUUAACACGGUGAAACCCUGUCUCUACUAAAAAGACAAAAAAAUUAGCCAGGCGUGGUGGCAGGCGCCUGUAGUCCCAGCUAUUCAGGAGGCUAAGGCAGGAGAAUCGCUUGAACCCAGGAGGCGGAGGUUGCAGUGAGCCGAGAUCACACCACUGCACUCCAGCCUGGGUGACAGAGCGAGACUCCGUCUCAAAAAAAAUAAUUAUUAUUUAAAAUAAUCAUUGGGCCUGGCGCGGUGGCUCACACCUGUAAUCCUAGCACUUUGGGAGGCCAAGGCGGGUGGAUCACGAGGUCAGGAGAUUGAGAUCCAGCCUGGCCAACAUGGUGAAACCCCAUCUCUGCUAAAAAUAUUUUUUAAAUUAGCUGAGCGUGGUGGCGGGCACCUGUAAUCCCAGCUAGUCCGGAGACUGAGGCAGGAGAAUCGCUUGAACCUGGGAGUCGAAGGUUGCAGUGAGCCGAGGUCGUGCCACUGCAAUCCACCUGGCCAACACAGCAGGACUCUGUCUCUAAAAUAAUAAUAAUUAUUAUUGUUAUUCUUGACAGGCCAGUGUAGAACAGGUGGGGCAUCUGUGGUAUGACAGAACUGGGUUCCAAUUCUGUCCCUUCACCUGUCCCAGGUUCCUCAUCUGAAAACUGUGACCCAGUAAACCUAAUUUCAUGAGCAGCUUUCAUUAAAAUUGAAAUAAUGUUGGAAAAUGCCUUGUAACCGUGCUUGAUAUAGAGUAGUUACUUAGCCAGUUAUUUCCUCUCUUCUUCCAAUUCCUAACAAAAUGGAAAAACGUUUGGUUGCUAGGAAAGAGCUCUAAGGGGAUUUUGUUGUUGUUUGAGACAAAGUUUGGCUCUAUCGCCCAGAAUGGAGUGCAAUGGCACAAUCUCUGCUCACUGCAACCUCCGCCAUAGACAGGAGCCAAGCAUAGUGGCGUGCACCUGUCUGUAGUUCCAGCCUCUUAGGAGGCUGAGGCAGGAGGAUUGCUUGAGGCCAGGAGUUUGAGUCUAGCUUGGGCAAUAUAUUGAAACCUUGUCUCAAAAAAAAAAAAAAAGAGGCCAGGUGUAGUGGCUCACGCCUGUAAUCCCAGCACAUUGGGAGGCCGAGGCAGUGGAUCACUUGACCCCAGGAGUUGGAGACCAGCCUGGGCAACAUGCAAACUUCCGUCUUUUAGGCCGGGCGCGGUGGCUCAACACCUGUAAUACCAGCACUUUGGUAGGCCAAGGCGGGCAGAUCACGAGGUCAGGAGAUCGAGACCAUCCUGGCUAAGGUGAAACCCAGUCUCUACUAAAAAUAAAAAAAAAAUUAGCCGGGUGUGGUGGCUGGCGCCUGUAGUCCCGGCUACUUGGGAGGCUGAGGCAGGAGAAUGGCAUGAACCCAGGAGGUGGAGCUUGCAGUAAGCCGAGACCGCACCACUGCACUCCAGCCCAGGCAACAGAGCUAGACGCCCUCUCAAAUAAAAAUAAAUAAAUAAAUAAAAUUAUGUCUUUAAAAAAAAACACAGGGCCGGGCGCGGUGGCUCAUGCCUGUAAUCCCAGCACUUUGGGAGGCUGAAGCGGGCGAAUCACGAGGUCAGGAGAUGGAGAGCAUCCUGGCUAACACGGUGAAACCCCGUCUCUACUAAAAAUACAAAAAAUUAGCCGGGCGAGGCAGCGUGUGUCUGUAGUCCCAGCUGCUGGGGAGGCUGAGGCAGGAGAAUGGCGUGAACCCAGGAGGCAGAGCUUGCAGUGAGCCAAGAUCCUGCCACUGCACUCCAGCCUGGGCGACAGAGCGAGACUCGGUCUCAAAAAAUAAUAAUUAACAAAAAAAAAAUACAAAAGUUAGUUGCGCGUGUUGCCAUAUGCUCGUGGUCCCAGCUACUCGGCAAGCUGAGGUUGGGAGAUCACUUGAGCCCAGAAGGUGGAGGUUGCAGUGAGCUGAGAACCCACCAUUGUACUCCAGCCUGCGUGUCAGUGAGAUUCUGUCUCAAAAAAAAAGAAAAGAAAAAAAAUCUAGGCUAUGCUCCCUAGUAUGGGAAAUCUAGUCUAGUCAUUUGGCAGAAUCAGGCUUUGCGGGCCAUAUUGUCUCUGUCGUAACUACCAACUCUGCUGGUUAAAAGGGAAGUAGCCACAAACAAUAUCUGAAUGAUGGAUUAUGGCUGUGUUCCAAUAAAACUUUAUUUGCAAAAACAGGUUGCUGGUUGCAAGGUAGUUUUCCAACCUCUACGUGAUUCUCAGACUUUAGGUUGCAUCAUAAUCACCUGGAGGGCUUGUUAAAACACAGAUUGCUGGGCCCCACCCCCAGAAUUUUUUAUUCAGCCAGUCUGGGGUGGGGCUGAUAUUUGUAUUUCUAACAACUUUCCAGGUGAGGCUGGCUGAUGAUGGUCUGGAAACCACUUUGAAAACUUCUGAAGCUUUUCUCAACUCCCUUUGUAUACCUAAAACACUUUAUCCCUACUGUAGAUGUAGUAUUUAGCGUGUUAUAUUAGUUUAGUGAUUGGUGUGUGGGUCUCUGGGAGCCUUUCUGAAUCACCUCCCUAGCCUAGUGCCUGACAAUAGCAAUUUGCUCCCCAUUCAUUGACUGAACUGAAACCAGAGGGUCAUGGUCAUCAUCAUUGUUCCAAGCCAUAGAUAGAAGAUGAAGUCACCACCCCCGAUCUCAGAGCUCAUCAGAGUAGAGCUUGGGCUGGACCAUGCCCUUCUCUGCAGUGAGCAGUUUUCUCUGUGGAGCUCUGUGCAACCUGGAGCCAGCCCUGCCUGGGGUAAGAGGAAAAAGGACUCCUUCCCCCCAGCCCCACAGCCUGUAUGCAAACACACCAGGAGACAUGACCUGCUCAGAGGAGACCUGGAACCAAGGGAAUAAAAUGAGAGUGGGUUGGGGACUUGGCUGUUUGUUAUUUUUUUGCUUGUAAGUGGACAAUUUGUGGUGUGGUGUGUGAAUUUGGGGUCUUAAAUCCAGAUAGCUGUCUGCUGUGGACAGCCACUGUUUCUGAAUUACAGGGCAUUUCAAGUGACCUGUGGUCAGGAUGUUUUCUCUCAGAUCAGGCAAAAUCAAUUGGUCCUGAUAAUAACCAGGGGAGUUGUACUUUCCCUAUCUUGAAUAGAAGACACAGCUCCCAGGUCCACCUGUCUCUCCUGACUGCCCACCUCCUGGCUUUUUUUUUUUUUUUUUUUUUUUUUUGAGACGGGGUCUUGCUCCGUCGCCUAGGCUGGAGUGCAGUGGUGCGAUCUCAGCUCUCUGCAACCUGGGCCUCCCGGGUUCAAGAGAUUCUCCUGCUUCAGCCUAGCAAGGAGCUCGGAUUACAGGCGCAUGCCACCUCGCCCAGCUAAUUUUUUUUAUUUUUAGUAGAGACGGGGUUUCACCGUGUUAGCCAGGAUGCUCUCAAUCUCCCGACGUCGUGAUCCACCCACCUUGGCCUCCCAAAGUGCUGGGAUUACAGGCAUGAGCCACCGUGCCCGGCCGGCCUCUUGGCUUUUAUCCUGGGGGCACUGCAAGUAGAGCCAGGCAUGUGGCCCAUGCAUCCUUCCCAGCCUCUCUUUCCUGCUGGGCAUGGAGGAGGAGGCACUGCCAGGAGCUCCCCACAGACAGGCGCUGCUUACUAAUGGGUUGGCUGCAAACUGUAGGCAUAACAGUUACCUUCCUCUUCACGACCCCUAGGCCUGACGAGGCUUACACAGGAAUUUCUUUGAUUUGUGAAGUCUUAAGACUAUACUGCUGGGCGGGUGGCUCACGCCUGUAAUCCCAGCACUUUGGGAGGCUGAGGCGGGCGGAUCACGAGGUCAGGAGAUCAAGACCAUCCUGGCUAACAUGGUGAAACCCCGUCUCUACUAAAAACACAAAAAAUUAGCCGGACAUGGUUGGGGGGCGCCUGUAGUCCCAGCUACUUGGGAGGCUGAAGCAGGAGAAUGGCACGAACCCGGGAGGCAGAACUUGCAGUGAGCCGAAAUCACACCACUGCACUCUGCACUCCAGCCUAGGCGACAGAGUGAGACUCUGUCUAAAAAAAAAAAAAAAAAAAAAAAAGACUAUACUACCUAAUCUUCCAUGCCUCGCUCUUUCCACGUUAAUAGACAAAACCAGGAAAAAGGACUGCUCCCCCUCCUGCUCUUGACUGGGCUCCAUAAGAACUGCCAAAAGGCCAGGCAGUAUUUGCUACUCUUCUGGGGUUCACUUCUGAAAGGUGCGACCCUGCAACCUAGAGCACAGGGAAGUUAGGACAGCAAAGGAGCCGGGCUGAGCCGACGCUGGCUUAGAACUCUUUCUGAUACUCCCUGUUCCCGCCAGCUCGUUAGCCCAGCCUGCCAAUCAGUUUUGCAUCAAUAAACUUUAUGUUCUGAGGUUGGCCAGAUGAAUGAGAGGAGAGCAGCUAAAGACUGAUCUCUGACCUUGGCACGUAAACAGCCUCCAGAUUGGACUUGACAGUUAAUAAAGGAAAGGCCCUGCAA
rnacentral:lncRNA from 1 species